rnacentral:rRNA from 1 species
ACGAACGCUGGCGGCGUGCUUAACACAUGCAAGUCGAACGGAAAGGCCCUGCUUUUGUGGGGUGCUCGAGUGGCGAACGGGUUAGUAACACGUGAGUAACCUGCCCUUGACUUUGGGAUAACUUCAGGAAACUGGGGCUAAUACCGGAUAGGAGCUCCUGCUGCAUGGUUGGGGGUGGAAAGUUUCGGCGGUUGGGGAUGGACUCGCGGCUUAUCAGCUUGUUGGUGGGGUAGUGGCUUACCAAGGCUUUGACGGGUAGCCGGCCUGAGAGGGUGACCGGCCACAUUGGGACUGAGAUACGGCCCAGACUCCUACGGGAGGCAGCAGUGGGGAAUAUUGCACAAUGGGCGGAAGCCUGAUGCAGCAACGCCGCGUGCGGGAUGACGGCCUUCGGGUUGUAAACCGCUUUCGCCUGUGACGAAGCGUGAGUGACGGUAAUGGGUAAAGAAGCACCGGCUAACUACGUG